GAGCAGGAGCCCCCGGAGCGGCAGGGAAAGGAACGUAGAGCCUGCAUGCUCGGGGUAUGAGCUUACUGCGCUCGCUAGGGUGGCGCGCACUGGGGCUCUAGAAAAGAGGGUUGAGAAGCCCCGGGCAAGUGCCUAGGAAGGUCAGAGGAGUCAGCAAAGUCCACGGAAGAACUUCCCCGGGUUGGAGAGGAAACGCACCCUGGGAGCUGGAAAGAAGAGGAAAGCUAGCCUGGGGGAAGCUUGAUCAGGGCUCUGAGUACCACGAGGAGUGCAGAGGAGGUGCUGAUGAUUGCGGGGAGAGCUCUGAGAGCCCGAGAAAGAUGGGGAAACUGAAGCCCUAGAGGAAAAGAAGACUAAAUGUAUUACCAUCUGACCCACUUCCUGGCCAGCCUGUUCACCUGUCUGCUGUUCUUCAUUGUGGCAGGUGUAUGUGUGAGUUUGCAGCUCAAUCCUGGCCAAGGGGAUCCAAGGACUGCUGAAGAGGCAUGUCUGCACAUGUCACCUAGAACAUCUCCAGCCAUCAUGUGAUCUCUGGGGGAGGCAUUCCCAACUCUCUGAGAGAAGCAGACCAGAAAGAUGGAAAGAAAGCACCUGGCUCCAGGAUGAUGACAUUGAGCCGAUGAAUUAACCACCUUUGUGCUGCUCUAACCUUCAGAGUUCACCUUAACAUGAGAAAAUAAAACCCUUAUUGCUUUGGCAGGUGUAUGUGUGAGUUUGCAGCUCAAUCCUGGCCAAGGGGAUCCAAGGACUGCUGAAGAGGCAUGUCUGCACAUGUCACCUAGAACAUCUCCAGCCAUCAUGUGAUCUCUGGGGGAGGCAUUCCCAACUCUCUGAGAGAAGCAGACCAGAAAGAUGGAAAGAAAGCACCUGGCUCCAGGAUGAUGACAUUGAGCCGAUGAAUUAACCACCUUUGUGCUGCUCUAACCUUCAGAGUUCACCUUAACAUGAGAAAAUAAAACCCUUAUUGCUUA
rnacentral:lncRNA from 1 species